GACGAACGCUGGCGGCGUGCUUAACACAUGCAAGUCGAACGGAAAGGCCCUGCUUUUGUGGGGUGCUCGAGUGGCGAACGGGUGAGUAACAAGUGAGUAACCUGCCCUUGACUUUGGGAUAACUUCAGGAAACUGGGGCUAAUAACGGAUAGGAGCUCCUGCUGCAUGGUGGGGGUUGGAAAGUUUCGGCGGUUGGGGAUGGACUCGCGGCUUAUCAGCUUGUUGGUGGGGUAGUGGCUUACCAAGGCUUUGACGGGUAGCCGGCCUGAGAGGGUGACCGGCCACAUUGGGACUGAGCUACGGCCCAGAGUCCUACGGGAGGCAGCAGUGGGGAAUAUUGCACAAUGGGCGGAAGCCUGAUGCAGCAACGCCGCGUGCGGGAUGACGGCCUUCGGGUUGUAAACCGCUUUCGCCUGUGACGAAGCGUGAGUGACGGUAAUGGGUAAAGAAGCACCGGCUAACUACGUG
rnacentral:rRNA from 1 species